rnacentral:rRNA from 1 species
UACGUGAGGUGCGAGCGUUGUCCGGAAUUAUUGGGCGUAAAGAGCUUGUAGGCGGUUUGUCGCGUCUGCUGUGAAAUUCCAGGGCUUAACCCUGGGCUUGCAGUGGGUACGGGCAGACUAGAGUGUGGUAGGGGAGACUGGAAUUCCUGGUGUAGCGGUGAAAUGCGCAGAUAUCAUUUGGAACGCCAAUGGUGAAAACAGGUAGCUGGGGCUGUGCUGACACUGAGACACGAAAGCCAGGGGAGCGAACGGG